rnacentral:lncRNA from 1 species
GAUGGAUGCUGUGAAGGUGCUGCUGUGUUAAUCAUAGCGUUUAAAGUGGAAGACUGCAUCUUGCAUAAGUGAAUGAAUUUGCAGGCAUAUCCACGGCCUUAUAUAAACACAGUCCCAGGUUAAUCAGGAAGAUGGGAGGUGGGAGAAGUGCUGCGAAGAGCCUCUGGCUUCAUCACAGACCUUGAGCCUGCAGGGAACAGUCUGCAACAAGAAGCCUUUGACUGGACACCAACUGAUGCUUUGAUUUGCGAGGGAUUCCAUAAAAGGUCAUAUGUUUCUGCACUGAUCCUCCACUUGCCUCAGGUGGGAAUGCUCUGGAGCCUAUGUGAGCUCCUUGCACCAUCACACUAAGCUGUAGUGUUUGCACUGUUGAAAUGAGACCUGGAGCCAUGCUGACCUAGACCUCCUUUGCCAAAGAGAAGGUGCCUGAAGUUCAAGAGGGAGGCAGACCGGGAAGAAGUCCAACUUUCUGGGUGUGUAGCAGUUUUUUAUGCAAGUAUCAUGAAAUGAAAUGCUCUGUCCUGAAAUGGUAGUUACUUAGCUUUAACUUUGUGGCCACAAAGGUUUGAGC